AAGACAAGAACCCAUCUAGUUAGCCGAGGAGAUUGCCUGAAACCAAACCGAGUUCCCAAGGGACGUGCACAGAAACCCUUCGAAUGGAACAGGCAAGUCAUCCUUGGCUACCACACUGAACUCUUUAUCU
rfam:Punica granatum cultivar Dabenzi scaffold326, whole genome shotgun sequence.